rnacentral:rRNA from 1 species
UACGUAGGGGGCAAGCGUUGUCCGGAUUUAUUGGGCGUAAAGAGCGUGUAGGCGGCUUGGUAGGUCUCGCGUCAAAACCUGAGGCUCAACCUCAGUUCGCGUGGGAAACCACCUAGCUAGAGUCCGGAAGAGGAGAACGGAAUUCCCAGUGUAGCGGUGAAAUGCGCAGAUAUCGGGAAGAACACCCGUGGCGAAGGCGGUUCUCUGGGACGGUACUGACGCUGAGACGCGAAAGCGUGGGGAGCGAACAGG